rnacentral:SRP_RNA from 1 species
UCUGGGUGUGGUGGUACGUGCCUGUAGUCCCAGCUACCCGGGAGGCUGAGGUGGGAGGAUCACUUGAGCCCAGGAAUACUGGACUGUAGUGCGCUAUGCCGAUCGGGUGUCCGCACUAAGUUAGGCAACAAUAUGGUGACCUCCUGGGAGCGGGGGACCAUCAGGUUGCCUAAGGAGGAUUGAACUGGCCCAGGUCAGAAACAGAGAAGGUCAAAACUUCCAUGCUGAUCAGUAGUGGGAUCGCGCCUGUGAAUAGCCACUGUGCUCCAGCCUGGGCAACAUAGCGAGACCCCGUCUCU